AUCGUUUAGUCGGGGUGCAAUUAUUGCUGAGAUUAUACCCGUGAACCUGAUUCAGUUAAUACUGACGUAGGGAACUAACUUCAAUACUGU
rnacentral:ncRNA from 2 species